rnacentral:lncRNA from 1 species
CGGGACGUGUUCUGUGAAUUGGAGUCAAGCUCCAAAGGAAAUGCAGGCUCACACUGAAAAGAUCGCUUCUGCUAAAGACAAUGCCAAGCUGCGUCUCCAUGCGCAGGGUCUGAAGACCUUCCCAAGACGAGAAUUUGGAUCUGCCUGAUGUCUCCUGCCUCAAAACACACUAGAUUUCCUCAGAGGUGUGCGUCUAGAACAUUCAAAGUGGAUGGACCCUUAAGGCGGAGUGUAUACAGAACCGGUAAAAUGUAUCUUUGACAUCUUGACUUCUGGAGAAACACGUUUCCUUUGCUGAUUUACAAGUCAGAUUUGAUUAUGUUCCGGUUCUCAUUUGCAUAGGCUACCAUCCACUCAUACUAUGUGGAGUCCUAUGUGUGUGUGGGGGGUGCACAAAGCUCCCAUUUAA